GGCGACGGUGGCGCUGGCUCGACGCGGGGGAGCGGCCGAUGCGGGGUCGGUUGGAUCGAGGCGUGGGAGCGGCGGAUGCGGCGGCGGCGGCACGAGAAGUGCAACGGCGGCGGCGUCGACCUAUGAAGAGGCGAGAGGAGCGGUGGUGGCGGCGUCGAGCUGCGAAGAGGCGCCGCUCGGGCGCGAGACCAUGGAGGCGGGAGCGGCUGCUUCGGGCCCUGAUAUGAGAGGGUACGAGGCAGGGAAGGACAGCAUCGUCGCCGUCACAGGUCUUCCUUCAGUCCCUUUCUUUCCCUCUCCGGUUCAUCCUCUUCCCAUCCAUCGCAUUAGGUAAGUUCCAUUAGGAUCCGGUGCCACCGUGCGCCAUGAUUUCAGAUUGGCCUGCCUGCUACCCCGAAUGAAUGCGCCACCCAGUCAGCCGAGUGAUGGCAGAAUAUGCUUUUGUAGAACUGCAUAUCUAUUUGUUAUGAAUCUAGAGUCUCAAAGCCAAUAAGUUGCUAAAUCAUUGACUGGUUGUUUCCAUGUUUGUAUUAUGCGCUUCUCACUCGGCAAGGGGAGCAUUAGGCCUCCUAUGGUCUGGAUUUCUCCAAAUGACCAGGCUUUGCGAAAAUUGUAUACGCAUGUCUUACAGCCUAGGUAUUCCUCUUCUAGAUAUACUCUAUUGUUUUUGUUCACUUAAUUCUAAUGAGUAUUUAAACUUCUUCAAGCAUAUUGGACUUUUGAACCUAUGUAGCCAGCUCUUUGGAAUUUAUCUAGACAAGUAUUUUUGGUAAUGAUAUGUAUUUGCAAGCUUACUUCUCAGUUUUUUCUAUUGUUGGGUACAUAUAGAUAAUUUCGUUGGGUUUCUACAAAGUACAUAUAGAUAAUUUUCGACCAUUUGUGACUGAAAGAUUUUUGCCAUAAUAAAAUUAACUCUGUCGAGCAGUGCUCGUUGUGAAGGAAAUGACGGGAAAUUGCUGAGCCUUAUUGAUUGGAAGAGGAAUGCUAAUCCUACAAAUAGAUCUAUAAUGAAUUAGACUUGAGAACAAUCACCAAAUAAUAAACAGUCCCAAAUUUGUAGAUGUUGUUUGAUUCAAAUACCGAUUUGAGCAUUUGGCGCAUCUAAAAUUCAUCAAAAAGGAUGCGUGAUUUUCUGCCUAAUCACUUAGUGUAUUGUUUGGUAAUCAGGUUAUCCUGGACCUCUUUGGGGACAAAAUCACCAAGUUUUCUUCUUAUUGCACAGCAAGUUAAAAAAAGUCAGUGGCUAAUGACUCUUCUUAUCUCUCUGUUCACUGAUGUGCUUAGCUGCAAAAAUUCUAAAAAGAUGCGCCUAAUGAGGGGGUGGUGGAUGUGCGUCCUCUAGGGCCUCGUCGGCCAGAGAAGGAGGGGAGGAGCGGUUGCCGACGAGCGAGGUGGCUCUGUUUGGACCGGCCAUGGUGUUGGCUGUUGACUCCCACCGGUCUUGUCUCCCCCAACCCUUCCAUGGAGCUCGCUUAGCCACCGGCUGGCACAUCUUCUUCUCGCUCACAGCACCAAGGCCAUGUGUAGCUUACUUUUUAACUGUUAUUGCUGAUUGGAGCCAUUGCUAUUGGCUAUUUAUACAUAAGAUGGAAGGUGAAUUGAGAUUUUUGUGAGGGGGAUUGGAUUCUAUCCAGAUGGCUUGCUUCUCGUGAUGAGACUGAUACUAAUGAACUAAUGAAGACAUGAAGGUU